rnacentral:rRNA from 1 species
GUGCUAAGGUAGCAUAAUAACUUGUCUUUUAAUUUAAGAAUAGAAUGAACGAAUAAACAUUAAGAGCCCUGUCUCAUUAUAAACCCUAAAAAUUUAUAUGGAGGUGAAAAAGCCCCCAUCAAAAAAAAAGACAAAAAGACCCUAGAAGCUUGUAAAUAAUAAAAUAAUUUAAUAGUUAUUUUUUGGCUGGGAGGGCAUAAAGUCUAUACAACACUUUAAAUUAAAAAGAAAUAUAUCUACUAAAUCAACCCCAAUAAGAAUAUAAGUAAGCUACUCUAGGGGUAACAGGCUAAUGCUCCUUAAGAGUACAUAUUGACAGGAGUGUUUGGCACCUCGAUGUUGGCUUAGGAGUCUUAUUUUAUGCAGAAGUAAAAUUAAGUGGUUUGUUCAACCUUUAAUAUCCUACAUGAUCU